UGUUGCAGUUAAAAAGCUCGUAGUCGAACCUUGGGCUUGGCUGGCCGGUCCAUCUUUUUUGAUGCGUACUGGACCCAGCCGAGCCUUUCCUUCUGGCUAGCCUUUUUGGCGAACCAGGACUUUUACUUUGAAAAAAUUAGAGUGUUCAAAGCAGGCCUUUGCUCGAAUAUAUUAGCAUGGAAUAAUAGAAUAGGACGUUAUGGUUCUAUUUUGUUGGUUUCUAGGACCAUCGUAAUGAUUAAUAGGGACGGUCGGGGGUAUCAGUAUUCAGUAGUCAGAGGUGAAAUUCUUGGAUUUACUGAAGACUAACUACUGCGAAAGCAUUUACCAAGGACGUUUUCAUUAAUCAAGAACGAAAGUUAGGGGAUCGAAGAUGAUCAGAUACCGUCGUAGUCUUAACCAUAAACUAUGCCGACUAGGGAUCGGUUGUUGUUCUUUUAUUGACGCAAUCGGCACCUUACGAGAAAUCAAAGUC
rnacentral:rRNA from 1 species